rnacentral:tRNA from 1 species
GGAUUGUGGCUCUGUGGUAGAGCACUCGCCUAGUAUGGGUGGAACCCGGGUUCAAUCCUCAGCACCA